rnacentral:rRNA from 1 species
GUGGCGAACGGGUGAGUAACACGUGAGUAACCUGCCCCAGACUCUGGAAUAACUUCGGGAAACCGGAGCUAAUACUGGAUACGAGACGGAGCUGCAUGGCUACCGUUUGGAAAGUUUUUCGGUUUGGGAUGGACUCGCGGCCUAUCAGCUUGUUGGUGAGGUAAUGGCUCACCAAGGCGACGACGGGUAGCCGGCCUGAGAGGGCGAUCGGCCACACUGGGACUGAGACACGGCCCAGACUCCUACGGGAGGCAGCAGUGGGGAAUAUUGCACAAUGGGCGAAAGCCUGAUGCAGCGACGCCGCGUGAGGGAUGACGGCCUUCGGGUUGUAAACCUCUUUCAGCAGGGAAGAAGCGAAAGUGACGGUACCUGCAGAAGAAGCACCGGCUAACUACGUGCCAGCAGCCGCGGUAAUACGUAGGGUGCGAGCGUUGUCCGGAAUUAUUGGGCGUAAAGAGCUUGUAGGCGGUUUGUCGCGUCUGCCGUGAAAAUUCGAGGCUCAACCUCGAACUUGCGGUGGGUACGGGCAGACUAGAGUGUGGUAGGGGAGACUGGAAUUCCUGGUGUAGCGGUGAAAU